GCCGAGGUGGCGAAAUCGGUAGACGCAAAGGACUUAAAAUCCUUCGGGAGUAAUCCUGUGCCGGUUCGAGUCCGGCUCUCGGCA
rnacentral:tRNA from 1 species